UAUAGCUCAAUGGUAGAGCACUUGCCUAGCAUGUAGGAGACCUGGAUUCAAUCCCCAGUA
rnacentral:tRNA from 1 species